UACGUAGGUGGCAAGCGUUGUCCGGAAUUACUGGGCGUAAAGGGCGCGUAGGCGGUAGCACAAGUCAGCUGUGAAAUCUCCGGGCUUAACUCGGAAAGGUCAACUGAUACUGUGCGACUAGAGUGCAGAAGGGGCAACUGGAAUUCUCGGUGUAGCGGUGAAAUGCGUAGAUAUCGAGAGGAACACCUGCGGCGAAGGCGGGUUGCUGGGCUGACACUGACGCUGAGGCGCGAAAGCCAGGGGAGCGAACGGG
rnacentral:rRNA from 1 species